rnacentral:rRNA from 1 species
GAUGAACGCUAGCGGGAGGCUUAACACAUGCAAGUCGAGGGGCAGCAUAGGGUAGCAAUACUCUGAUGGCGACCGGCAAACGGGUGAGUAACGCGUAUGCAACCUACCCUGUACAGGGGGAUAACCCGGAGAAAUUCGGACUAAUAUCCCGUAAUAAUAUCCGGAGGCAUCUUUGGAUAUUUAAAGUUCCGACGGUACGGGAUGGGCAUGCGUAACAUUAACUGGUUGGUAAGGUAACGGCUUACCAAGGCUAUGAUGUUUAGGGGUCCUGAGAGGGUGGUCCCCCACACUGGUACUGAGACACGGACCAGACUCCUACGGGAGGCAGCAGUGAGGAAUAUUGGCCAAUGGGCGCAAGCCUGAACCAGCCAUCCCGCGUGCAGGAAGACGGCCCUAUGGGUUGUAAACUGCUUUUCCAGGGAGAGAAACUUACGCACGUGUUGCGUGACUGACGGUACCCUGGGAAUAAGCAUCGGCUAACUCCGUGCCAGCAGCCGCGGUAAAACGUGCGUG